CCUUGCGCUACUAGAGCGGCUGAUGGCAGAUUAGGUAGUUGGUGGGAUAAAAGCUUACCAAGCCGACGAUCUGUAGCUGGUCUGAGAGGACGACCAGCCACACUGGGACUGAGACACGGCCCAGACUCCUACGGGAGGCAGCAGUGGGGAAUUUUGGACAAUGGGCGCAAGCCUGAUCCAGCAAUGCCGCGUGCAGGAUGAAGGCCUUCGGGUUGUAAACUGCUUUUGUACGGAACGAAAAGCCUUCUUCUAAUACAGGAGGGUCAUGACGGUACCGUAAGAAUAAGCACCGGCUAACUACGUGC
rnacentral:rRNA from 1 species